ACAGGCUGUCUGCCUGGAUUUUUCUAGCUCAUAGCUUCGCCCUGCUAAGCGUGUGUACUUGUACAAAGGCCGUUCAGCCUCGGGAUUUACACUCGGCUCAACACGGAUAUGUGAAGAAUGAAGAGACCCUGCAGCGAAACGGAGAGCCCAGCCUCUGACUGAGUGCCUGUUUACUCGGUCUGACCACCUGUUGAAGGGCUGUUUGAUGAUGAUUUGGACUCCUCUGGGAGAUGAGGACACACCCACAUCUGUUCCAUACUGCAGCCAUUGAUGGUGUUACAGCUCUGAGUCAGCUUUGGGGUAUCAGACGCACACACUGGAAACCGGCACCUGGACUUCAUGCAGGAGAGACGGCCUCAGAGAUGGACCAAUCAGAGAGCUCCUUACAUCCCACAGUGUGGCUAAUUUGAAUAGCUGCAGUAUUUUUAAAAUGAAGUUGUUAAUCCAACAGCUAAUCCAAAGGGAAGGGGUGGUGCAGCAGGUUUGAGGGGCAAUGCCAGUAAGGCUGGGACACGAGCUGCAGCCUCAUCCAACCUCUUUUUUUUCCAGGUGCCCAGCCACCCUUCAGUUUCAUCAUAUCAUCCCAAACAAUAGCUGUAGAGUUGGAUGGAGGAUGAAGACAGCAGAGAGAGCAAAAG